rnacentral:rRNA from 1 species
UAUUGGGCGUAAAGCGCGCGCAGGUGGUUCUUUAAGUCUGAUGUGAAAGCCCACGGCUCAACCGUGGAGGGUCAUUGGAAACUGGGGAACUUGAGUGCAGAAGAGGAAAGUGGAAUUCCACGUGUAGCGGUGAAAUGCGUAGAGAUGUGGAGGAACACCAGUGGCGAAGGCGACUUUCUGGUCUGUAACUGACACUGAGGCGCGAAAGCGUGGGGAGCGAACAGGAUUAGAUACCCUGGUAGUCCACGCCGUAAACGAUGAGUGCUAAGUGUUAGAGGGUUUCCGCCCUUUAGUGCUGCAGCUAACGCAUUAAGCACUCCGCCUGGGGAGUACGGCCGCAAGGCUGAAACUCAAAGGAAUUGACGGGGGCCCGCACAAGCGGUGGAGCAUGUGGUUUAAUUCGAAGCAACGCGAAGAACCUUACCAGGUCUUGACAUCCUCUGACAACCCUAGAGAUAGGGCCUUCCCCUUUUGGGGGACAGAGUGACAGGUGGUGCAUGGUUGUCGUCAGCUCGUGUCGUGAGAUGUUGGGUUAAGUCCCGCAACGAGCGCAACCCUUGAUCUUAGUUGCCAGCAUUCAGUUGGGCACUCUAAGGUGACUGCCGGUGACAAACCGGAGGAAGGUGGGGAUGACGUCAAAUCAUCAUGCCCCUUAUGACCUGGGCUACACACGUGCUACAAUGGAUGGUACAAAGAGCCCGCAAACCCGCGAGGGUAAGCUAAUCUCAUAAAGCCAUUCUCAGUUCGGAUUGCA